AGUGAACGCUGGCGGCAGGCCUAACACAUGCAAGUCGAGCGGAUGCACGGUGAUAGCUCGCUCUUUCCGGUGGCGACGGGCGGGUGAGUCACACGUACAUCGCUAUCUGCUUUUUCUGGCGUCAGUACGCGGGCCCGCAUACCCUAACAGCCCAUAUGACGAACGGGGGGGAUCAGCGGAGCUCCAGCCUUUUGCUGAUUCUAUGAGCCGAGGGCGCAUUAGCUAGUUGGCGGGGUAAAGGCCCACCAAGGCGACGAUCCGUAGCGGGUCUGAGAGGAUGAUCAGCCACACUGGAACUGAGACACGGUCCAGACUCCUACGGGAGGCAGCAGUGGGGAAUAUUGGACAAUGGGCGAAAGCCUGAUCCAGCCAUGCCGCGUGUGUGAAGAAGGUCUUCGGAUUGUAAAGCCCUUUUAUUGGGGAAGAAGAGCAGUAAGUUAAUACCUCGCUGUUUUGACGGUACCAAAAGAAUAAGCACCGGCUAACUUCGUG
rnacentral:rRNA from 1 species